UCGCGACCCCAGGUCAGGCGGGACUACCCGCUGAGUUUAA
rnacentral:rRNA from 55 species